rnacentral:rRNA from 1 species
UGGGGAAUAUUGGGCAAUGGGGGAAACCCUGACCCAGCGACGCCGCGUGAGGGAAGAAGGUCUUCGGAUUGUAAACCUUUUUGAUAUGGGAAGAAUAAAGUGACGGUACCAUAAAAACAAGCCACGGCUAACUACGUGCCAGCAGCCGCGGUAAUACGUAGGUGGCGAGCGUUAUCCGGAAUUACUGGGUGUAAAGGGUGUGUAGGCGGGAUUGCAAGUCAGAAGUGAAAACUAUGGGCUCAACCCAUAGCCUGCUUUUAAAACUGCAAUUCUUGAGCGUGUGAGGGGCAGGUAGAAUUCCCAGUGUAGCGGUGAAAUGCGUAGAUAUUGGGAGGAAUACCGGUGGCGAAGGCGACCUGCUGGAACAAGGCUGACGCUGAUACACGAAAGCGUGGGGAGCAAACA